AUACAUCUAAUGAAGGUCUAAUGUCCUGAAUCUAUAAAAAAACUUAAGCAAUUCAACAAGCAAAACACAACCCCAUUAAAAGCAAGGCGCAUCUUACAUGGCAGCAGGAGAGAAAAGAGGGAGGAGGGACCUACCAAACACUUUUCUCUUGUUCUGGAAGAACACUUCUUGUUUGUUUUCACUUGUUUUGGAAGAAGACGGCUGCCAUGUCAUGAGGACACUCAAGAAACCCUGUGAAGAGGUUUCUGUGUUGAGAAACUGAGGCCUCCAACCAGCAGCCAUGUGAGCAAGCCAUCUUUUAAUCCAAUCCUCUAGCCCAAAUUAAGUUCCCAGAUGGGUGCAGUCAUAGCCAACAGCUUGAAUCCAACACCAGGAGAGAAACAAAGCAAUCUGAAAGGUCAUUUAAAGGUGAUACGGCAUCAAGAACUGCAUCUCUGAGUCACCACUUAGAGGAAACACACCCUGCAAUGUCACCCAAGCAUCUGCCUUCCCAGUAAUAUCUGCACUGGAUUAAUCUGUGGGCAAGAAGGGAACUUUUAUUCUGUAAAGCUCCUGAGAUUUUGAUGUUAUUUGUUACAGCUGUUAGCAUCAGUUAUUUCAUUCAGAGAUGGAACAUGAAAAUAAAUAAGGCCCUACACUUGAGGAACUCAAAGUGUAGUUAGGUAAUUGGGUUUAAAGAAAAAAAAUAUGUUUUCAGGUUUCCUGUUUCUAAACUCUAAUUUACCAUUUUAGUAACCUGAGUAAUUCUCAAAAUAGAAAAAAACCACAAUCAAUGAUUUUUGUAUAUUUGUUUUAUGGCAAAUGUGGUCCUACAUAUCAAUCAGAACUACACAUGUAUCCCAAAAAUUGAUACAAGUAGUCAUUAAGCUUUAUUAAAAUUUAUCAGUAGAAAUAUUUGUUUUUAUUUGGUAAAUGUGACUUGAUUUCACCAUAAAAAAUCAAAUAGUCUUUUCAUGUUUAUUAAUAUUCAUAUAAAUGCCUAUCUGUGUAAAUGUGCUCUUGCCUUGCUAUAAAAAAAAUACAUGAG